UCGAUGUCGGCUCGUCGCAUCCUGGGGCUGGAGUAGGUCCCAAGGGUUGGGCUGUUCGCCCAUUAAAGCGGUACGCGAGCUGGGUUUAGAACGUCGUGAGACAGUUCGGUCCCUAUCCGCCGCGCGCGUUGGAGACUUGAGGAAGGCUGUCCCUAGUACGAGAGGACCGGGACGGACGAACCUCUGGUGUGCCAGUUGUCCCGCCAGGGGCACGGCUGGUUGGCUAUGUUCGGGAGGGAUAACCGCUGAAGGCAUCUAAGCGGGAAGCCUGUUCCAAGAUGAGGUCUCCCACCACCUUCGAGUGGGUAAGGCUCCCAGUAGAUGACUGGGUUGAUAGGCCGGAGAUGGAAGCCCUGUGAGGGGUGGAGUUGACCGGUACUAAUAGGCCGAGGGCUUGCCACAAC
rnacentral:rRNA from 1 species